CCCAUGCCGAACUCAGAAGUGAAACGCCGUAGCGCCGAUGGUAGUGUGGGGUCUCCCCAUGCGAGAGUAGGGAACUGCCAGGCAU
rnacentral:rRNA from 1 species